rnacentral:rRNA from 1 species
AUUGAACGCUGGCGGCAUGCCUAACACAUGCAAGUCGAACGGUAACAGGCCCUUCGGGGUGCUGACGAGUGGCGGAUGGGUGAGUAAUACUUAGGAAUCUACCCUGUAGUGGGGGACGAACCCGGGAAACGUCGGGCUAAUACCGCAUACGCUCUACGGAGGAAAGCGGGGCCGGCAAGGCCUCGCGCUAUUGGAGUGAGCCUAACGCCCGAUUAGCUAGUUGGGUGGGGUAAUAGCCUACCAAGGCAAUGAUCGGUAGCUGUCUGAGAGGACGACCAGCCACACUGGGACUGAGA